CCAAAAAAACUUGUUAUGAUGACUUACAUAAUAGUACAUCGACUAGAAAUCCCAAUGCAUACAGUCAUUUGUAGAUAUUGAAAACUGAAUUGCUUGGAAAAAAACCAAUAUCUGAAUUCCCAAAAUGAACUUGUAGACCUUCAUAAUAAUGAUGAAAAAGUUGGUUCGUAUGAACAUGUGCCAUCCAAAGCACUGAAGAUCGGAAUAGAGAAGAAGUGGCCAUAAACAAAAAACAGAACAAGCCUACCACAAGCAAAAUUUGUACCACAGCAUCGUAAGAUGUUACGCAUGCUGCCAUCAGCAUACAUCGGAAAUAUGCAUAUAGAGACAUCCCUUUACGAAUAAAUGGCAAAGCCGAUACAUGGCGGAAAAGCAAGGUGCCACUACACGAAUGAUAGAUGCUUAAGAAAUAGGUAGCAAACAUCUUGAUCAUAAAGGACGGACAAAGAACCUGCAAAAUGAAACAGAACAUAAAGAUUAGACAUAAGAGUAUUCUCUUCUCCGGAACCUCCUUUUUGCAUUUUUUCUUUUAUAUAUUCUUUCUUCCUUUACUUCCUUUUUUUUCUUUUCUUUUUUUUCUUUUAUAUAUUCUUUUUUUCUUUUGUAUAUUCUUUCUUUUUUGUAUAAAAGUUUUUUUUUUCUUUUCCUUUUUUCCCUAUUUCCUCUUUUUUUUCUUUUUCUAUUUUUCUGACUGCAAGUUUUAUUAUUCCAAAAAUUGACCAUUCUUUUCUUUCAAAUAGUAUAUAUAUCAGCACAUCCUCAUGUGUGCGAUCCCGAAUGCCCCACAUAAUGGCAGUAUCAGAAGUACCAUAAUUCAGACAACGUAUUGGUGAAGUAAUGAAAUGUCGAAGAAAAGUAAUGAGCAUCCCAAAAGCGACUGCCAGCAUAGGCCAUAGGCCAAUAAUUCCGCAUCUUCUGCCUAUCACGUUGCAGUACAUUUGAAGAAGUGAAGAAGCCAAGAAACAGGGGUCCUCGAAUGAGAAAGUCCUUUGCCAUAAUGUUCCUCCUAAAACAUAUUUAGAAGCAGCACUUCUUGCAAAGCUAUGCGGUAAGCACAUUGGUGUUGCAGAAUCCCAACAGUUGUUACAAAAGCAACUUUUGAGCUAAGACAAUAAUCUUUGUAUUCUCUUAUAUCAUCCAACUUCGGAGCAAGAAGAGGAAGGAUGUAAACAAUUGUACCUAGUCAUUCCCAUACUCCCUAGAAUAUACCCACCAUGUAAUAGUAAACCCUCAAUACACUCCAGUGAGCCAUAUUCAAAACCAGAGGCAGCUUGAUAUGGAUCAUAUUGUAUACAAACAGAUAUUUUAAACUUCCCAGACCCCUCACCCAUAGCACGAGAGGCAGCUUGAUGUGGAUGAUCUUGUAUACGAGUAGAGAUAUGGCCAAGGGGAGUCGUAGAAGAGAUAGAUGAUAACAGGUAUCGGCCAAGGGAAGUAAGGAAGAUGGAAGGAAGAAUUAAUAAGUAGUUAAAAAGAGAGUGGAAAAACAUGAAGGAAUAUCGAGUCUCAUGCUGAACAGUGCUAUGCCAUCCAUGUAAUCUGAUACAUUGCUACCAAAUGUCAAUCAUAAUCUGCACAAAAAGGUUUGUAACAAACAAACUAUACCAUAUAUCCAUCUGCAUGAAGAAGAUAUAAACAAGAUAUAUCAAUAAGAUCUGUAAACGUCCAUGCGAAAUCACCCUGCAAAGCUUUAUUGGCCAAAUAGUCAGCAACCUGAUUACCUUGCCUAAGGGUAUAACAAACUUUAAAAGAAGUGCAUGAAGAUUCUCAUUUAGUAAUAUCUUGUAGAAGAGGAAGAUGCGGGUACCUAUGCACAUAAGAAUUAUUUAUCCACAAGACCAAAGUAGUAAAAUCACCUUCGAGGAUUAUGUGAGUAGCAUUCAGUGAAAAUAUGGCCUCUUUAAGUCCUAACCAGACAACUAUUAAUUCAGCAAAUGGAACUGACAUAUGAGACAAAAACUUACCUCCCGCAUGGAGCAACUUUGCAUUAUGAUCUCUAAUAAUAUAACCUACAGCUGCUUUAUUAGAAAUAACCGAAGCAUCAAAGUUAACCUUGAUAGUACCCAUGGGUGGGGGCAACCACGAAACUAUAUGAGGAGAUAUAGGAUUAGACAGAAUGUUAUUACGAUUACCCCAGUGCCUAUCAGGAAAUAUCAAGGUAGCCAUGGUUAGAGCAUACCUAGCUAGCUGCUUAGUAUUUGUAGGGAUGUGGUUAAAUAAUCUUUCAUUACAGGCAUUCCACAGACCCCAAGCAACAACGGUGAAAAAACAUCUACGCAGAUCAUGAAGAUAGGGAUUAGACAUAUGGUGUAGCAAAUGUUGUACAGAACAGCUAGGAAAGGGCAAAUGAGUGAGCUGAGAGACAUAUUGCCAAGUACUAGAUGCAAUUGGACAACUCAAAAUCACAUGAUUAAGGUCUUCAGUAACCUGUGAACACAAGUCACAAUAUUGUUGAAAAGCAGUAAGGAUGUCACAAUGAUAAAGAUAUGUUUUAGUUGGCAGUCUUCCCCUAGCAAAGAACCACCAAAAAGUUUUCACUCUAGGAGGAACUUUUUGCUUCCAAAUCCAGCAAAAUGGGACCAUUGGAACAGCAGUCUGAAUGUACAUCUGAGAUGAGAUAUCGGUCAUAUCAUGCAGCGAAAUAUCAGGUAAUUUCAUGUUACCCCAAACUAAUUGAUCAGCCCACUGACCUUUAGGAAUAGGAAGAGAGAAUCUGAUGCAAUAUAUCCGCAGAAAAGAGAAUAGUCAAUUUUUGUAUAUCCCAUUGUCUCGUAGAAGUAAUAACAUCAGACACCUUUAAUUCCAUUGAUUAGCUUUCAAUAUUAAGGUAAGUAGGCAUGUUGAUCAAGGGGCAAGUAGUCAACCAAGGAUCAGAAAAAAGAUUUACCUGCUCCCCAUUGCCAAUUAGCUAUUGAAACUUAUAGUGAACAUAAUAUGCAGCGGCACAAAUUUUAGCCAGAUGACCGAAAAAUUGCAAGGUUUAAAAUAAUGGACCCAAGACCCUGUGAAAUGAUACUUCGCCGUAAUCACUUGAGCCCAUAAGAUAUUUAGGUGCGGAAUUAAAUGCGCAGCAAGUUUAGAUAAGCAUUGAGAGCGGCAAAGACGCAAGGAUGUAAUACCUAAAUCCUAAACCACCCAAAUCUUUAGGUAUACAAAUCUGCUCCCAAGCCACUCGAUGAAAGCCUCGUUGCUCAAUCUUAUGACCCCAAAGGAAUGCUCCAAAUUCUUUUUCAAGCUGAUCUAGAAUAUAACAAGGAAUAUGCACAGCUGAUAACAUAUAUAAAGGAAUCGUAGAGAGCACCGAUUGAAGAAGCAUAACUCUAGCUGCAAAGGAAAGUUUUCUCCAUUUUCAUAGAUCCAAAGGACUAGACACCUUAGAGAAUAAAGGUUGUAUAUCCACUCUUGUUAAUGGGCUAUUGGAUAUCAGAGUUCCUAAAUAUUGCCAGGAUAAGUUUUGACAAGUGAUAUUAAGCAAACUACAAAUUUGAGAUUUAAUUCUAUGUGGUGUAGACAGGCUCGACAUGAUAUGGGAUUUUGAACGAUUCACAACCUAGCCAGAGAAAUGACAAUAAACAUCCCAAAAAGAAGCAAGUGAAGCAGCCUCUUUUACUGUUGAACGUCCCAUAAUAAGGCAAUCAUCAGCAUAAAAGAUGUGAGAAAUAAUCGGCCCAUGACGUAACCGAUAUCCUUGAUAGAUGCUGGAUGGCGGUAUGCAAAAUGGUAGAAAAAAAAAUCAGGGGGGACAACAGACAACCUUGUUGAAGCCCACAUGAAAUCAGGAACCAAGUAGUAGGCGAACCAUUAAUUAACAAGGAAAAUUGAGGAUGCAAAAAAAAAAGCCUGCGUCUACCUCACAAAUAAAGGAUGAAACCCAUAAUGAGAGAAAAUGUGAGAGAGAAAAGACCAACUCACACAAUCAUAAACCUUUUCCAUAUCUAACUUGAGAAGCAUAAGGCUUUUAGACCUUGGAGCCCGGAAUAAAGAAUGAAUGAGCUCCUAAGCUAACAAGAUAUGAAAAGAAAUUUGACAACCAUGAAUAAAAGCUCCCUGUUCGUCUGAAAUUAAAGUAGGUAAAACUUGUUAAAGCAUAUGUAGAAGAACUUUAGCAACCAAUUUAUAGACCAUAUUGUAUAGGCUAAUAGGCCGAAAAUCAUUUGGUGAAGAUGGAUUUAGCUUCUUAGGCACUAGAACAAUAUAAGUUUGCUUCCAAUCAUCAGGCAUAAGAAAAGUAGUAAAAAGGUGACGGACCGCCUUAAUGACAUCAACCUUAACAAUCGACCAAUAAUGCUAAAAGAAGGGAGGAAAACUAUCAGGACCAAAAGCUUUAUCAACAUGCAUAAAAAAUAGAGCAUAUUCAAUUUCAUCAUCUGAAGGAGAAGCUAUCAAGGAAGCAUUCUGGGUGGUCGAGACAGUAGAAAAGAUCAAAGGGUGAUCAAUGAUAUCUAAAUUAGAUUCAGCAGACCACCUGAUGAUGAAAUGAGAAAGUAAAAUCCGAGUAAUAUCAUCCGGAUUAGUAUCCGAAUUUUACUGAAGAAUGCUUGAGUAUCCAACUGCAGCAAAUUGACAUUGACUCAAUAAACUACAAGCAUUCCUAAAAAUUUUCAUUUUUGAAGCAGAAACAAAUAUAAGGUAUUAAAACAUCCAUGCCUACCAAGUUGGCAUUUUGACAUGCGCAUGUUAUGCAAUGUCAAUAUUUGGCAUAAAAUGGUUUGCUGCAGCCUACCAAUCACUGGCAUUCUGGCAUGCAACCGGCAAGAUUCCACUAUGAAAGAUAUUGCCUUGGAGCUGUCAGAACAUAACUCUCACUUGAGAUCCUCGGUAGAUCAAUCUCUCUCAGAUUUUUCCUUUCAAACAAGCUUAUUUCUAAUAACAUGGCAAGUAUUGAAACCCUACACCAAGAAUUCAUACAAAUUUCUAUAUUUACAUCUCAUUUAUCAUGCAUGUCCGAAAUCAACGACUAUAUUGCUAGAUGAAAAUCUUCAAGUUACCUCCAAUUUUUACCUGAAGUCUCCAUUUGGAACAUAAGUAUAUAUCUAGAUGAUUUGUUUUGACAAUAAAAAACACAAGAGAGAUAACAAAGAAACAAUAAAUUGAAAAAUAAAACACGGAUAAUGAGCUUCAAGUCCUGUGGCAUAAAACAGUAUAUAAACCAAAUGUAUCAUUUAAUGAAAAGUGCUUUUGCUUCUACCUAUACCAGGAAUAGACAAACAAGAAGUCUAUCAGCAACCAUUAGUGCUUCAAUGAGGUUCGAUAACUAACAAGCAUGCUUCUGAGAUCGUCAGGUUAGACAAAAAAAAAGAGGAGGGGGGGGGGGUGGGGGCGGACGCGGGAGUAUCUUUAGUCAUGGGUGAAUGCUAUAGUUGACCAAAAUUCUUUCCAGAAUUAUUAGACAAUAUUCUAAUUUCAGGACAUUUCAACCAUCACAACAAAGAGAAAAAGUGAACAUGAUGUAACAAAAUUUACAAGGACAAAGCAGAGCCUUGUUGCUCCUUUGUAACAACAACAUGGAGAAGAAAGAUCACCCUUUUCAUCCCUCCACACUUUUAUCUGUGAAACAGUAGAUGGUCAAGAGUAAAACAAUUAUCUCAUAUCCGGACCUUAUGAGAUGAGCAAUAGGUGGUGGAGAAGAAAGUACAAGAGGAAAACGACAAUUCCCACACCCUACUCUUGAUUAGGGAGAAAAAGAAAACAAUAUAAAAAAGAAUAGAACAGGCUAAACCAAGUAACCAGGUCCCAUCUGACUUGAUGAUAUAUGGCUAGGUCAGGCUACCCUACCCAACAAGUCAGCUAAUAAAACAAAGUUGAAAUAUAGUUUGUAGGAAGCAAUGACCUAAAGAUCAAAGUAAAUUUAACUUUAGAGAUAGGGCAUGAAUUUCAAUACUUAAAAUCACCUACAUUCUGCUUGGAACAGAAAGCAAAAUAGCAGAAACAGUUACUAUAUCAUGAAUUUUUUCAACCUCACAUGUAUUUGCAAUUUCCUAUCUCGAAGGUGGAGGAUAGCGCACCUCUUUGUAUCAAGUCCUGAAGUUGUCCUCGACAUUAAAUUUGGUUUGAAAAGGACAUUAAAUUGGUUUGAAAAGGUCAUCAAAUUAAGUUUUCCUUUUUAGUUCUUUAUUCUUUAAAAAUCUAUUAGAAAAGCAUAUCUUUCAUGACUAAGCUUACAAUAAAAAAAUUUAUGGAGGAAACAUUUGAAAAAGGUAGUAUGCAGGUUGCCUCUGAAAAUUGCAGUCUAUUGCGAAGUUCAAAGAACAUACUGCCUCCUUCACAUCACCUUUUCUAGGGCUAAUGUGCAAGACAUUUGAACCAUCACAUACUAAUUAAAAAAAUAUAACCAUAUGCAUGAUUUUCUUUAUAGUAAACUCACAUGGUUGCAUUUUCUAUUACCUAAAAAGACAUAAAAAAUCAAAGUAAGCUUGAUGCUCCUUUAAAGAAAAUAAUAAAAACCAGAUUAGCUGAUAUGAAAUUCAAAUCAUAGAGCAUGAAACUGGGAAAAUGAACAGUGAAAAAAUACACUUGACCAUUAAAAUAUAUCAUUGCACUUCUGCUGCUGUUCUUUUUUUUUUUUUUUUAACAUCAAUAACACCACAUAGGGUAUGAAAAGGUUUAUAGCCUUACCUUCAUCUGGUACAUGUCCAGUAGCUCAAGUGCGUGCUUCCUCCUUGCUCCACCAGCCAUGUUUGCAUAUAAAUAUUUAUCCAAGGAUCAAAUAAACAUAGUUCUAGUCAUGUUUAGUUAUGCAAAAGCAAAAUAAUCAGAGAAAUUACUAAUGAAAAAAUUGUUGGAAUGAAGAGAACACAAGUUAAAGCAAUUCAACACUCUAUCAAAGCAGUUGUUCCGAUAUCACUUUGCUUCCUUAUAUUAUAUUACUUUGAUACCCUUAUCCAUUGGAGUAUCAAGGAAAAUUCUAGCAAAGCUACACAUAUGAUUAUAUAAAGCAAAAAGAAAUAUACGAACUAUUGAUACAAAAUAAUUUGAAUGAGAAGAACACAAACCUAAAAAUAAGAUAGCCUAAUGCACGAAAGUCCCACCAUUGCAGGGUCUGAGAAGGGUCAGAUGUCUGCAUCCUUAACCUGAAUGCAGAAAAGCUGUUUCAAUGUUUCGUACUCAUAACCUCCAAAUUAUAAUGGAGCAACCUUGCCAUCCAGUGAAGCCUCAUCCUCUAUGACUAAACAACCUAUCAAAAACUUGAGGCCUCACUAGAUAGUCUAAGAAGCAAAACAGGUACAUUUCAAGUAAGCCUCUAACAUUAACAUCUCUAAAAUUGUAUACUUUCAGAUAGCAGCUGGCAGACCAGUAAGAGAUAAAUAAGCAAUAUACCAAGUGAUUAUCAUAGUAUCAAGACCAAUCAAUGAAAAUUUACACGAAAAAGAGAAAUUGAAAAAGGAAAGCCAACAAAGUGAAAGUCCGUUGUUUCCUCCUUUUUCUACAGAGGAAAUAGUACAGUGAUAAGCAUUUAAAUUCUUGAUCCUUUCAUGUACAUAACUAAAUUUCUCUUUGUGAUCACUUCCACAACUACGUAUGUCUAUAACAAUAGAAUAACCACAAAGAAAUUUAUAAGAUUCUAGGAAAUAAGCACUCUUAAGAGCUAUCAUUUUUUAGGAUUUAUAAUCUAUAAUUCUUUAAGGAACUUAGAAGCUAAAAAUCUGGCAUCUUCUUAAGUUCAUUUCGCAUCAGAGGUUUAUAUAAUAAUUUAAGACUAAAAACAAUUGACAUUUGCUCAAAAAAGAAUGAAGGCAUAACAGCUGAGAAAAGUUUCUUUUGGACCCUUGGUAAGAAACAGGCAAGGAUACCUAAAAUCAUAAAAUAGCAAAAAAUCUGGAAAUUGGAACAUUGUGGGAAAAAAGGAAGAUAUGAAUAGGAAUGAAACCUAAAAUCAUAAAAUAGCAUGAAAUCUAGAAAUGGAAAUGAUACAGGAAAACAAAACAAAAAAAGAAAAAGAAAAAGGACAUCAUAGUCUGCUAGAAGAAAACCACCACAUCUCCCUCAUCUCACAGACAAUAUGAGCAAUUGAGUGGCGGAGAAGGAAAUAAACAACUUCAGACCUUGCUAUGAGAAAACCUGAGAAAGGGUGACAAUAUGGUAAAUUGAAUGUUUUGAUGCGGGAGUAUGAUUUGAAGUACCUAUGGAAGCCUUCCUCAAUAAAGUAGCUAUGAAUAAAUUGCCAUCCAUCUAUAGCCUUCAGCUUUUCACCAUCACCUUUACACUCUUCUUCACCACCCUAACUGCUCAAGCAGAAGAUGCUGGGUGAAAGGGCAGAGAAAAGUAUUAAGAGGGUGACACCAAACCUGCUUAAUACAUGACUACACUUUUGCACAUUGAUAUCUGUCCCACUGGUCUUCAUUUUGCUUAAUUCUUUUUUUUUUUUCUUGCGCGCAUAAUGUUGGAGGCUUCUUGAUGCAUUCUUUGCUGACUGUGAAGUGCCCUCUUUUUCAGAAGAGAAAAAAAAAAGAAAAGCCUUAUGAACAUCUCAUCAGCUCCAUUUCAGCACAGUUUUGAAAAUCCAUGACCGUGACUUAAAGAUCAUUGAUUCAAGCAGAUAAAGAAGACCUUCUAGUUGGAUCCUGUUGAUGAAUGAUCCCUCUCAAAAUCAUCGAGUUUCCCACUAACACCAUCUCCUUCACUCUUGAAGAUCUUUUCUUUUUCUUAAGAAAAUAAGAGCCAAACAAUUCAUGAACUGAGAAACACUUCUCCCCAUUAAGGUGUUCUCAUGAACUCAAUUUUACAUUCUAUGAUAAUUAUUAUUGAAAAAAGAAAAUAGCAAACAACUAAGGAAAAUCCCCAUGUAAUUGAUUCUAAUAAUUGAACUUUUUCUCCCCCAUUUUACAUGAACAUCUUCUCAUUUGUGCCACUUCCAUAUAUUUCUAAGGAAAAACAAUCUCACUUCCAUUCAAGAAGGGCAGCAUCCAAUAAUAUGUUCCAUGUGUCCGGAACUCCAGCUAAGCACCAGUGCACAAUCACCACCACUGCACUUUCCAGGGUGACCAUACUUUCUGAGUUGCAUGAGGAAAGUUAUGUCCAGCAAAUAGACUGGCUUCGAUAUACUUCCCAAUAUGCUCCGUACCAUGGUUUCUUGCAGAAUUGGACCGCUGGGGUAUGUUUUUGCCAUCAGUGGUUCUGUUUGUCCAACACAAAUAUUCCCUCACUAGGCCCAAUCCUCUCCACUGUGCCAAUUAAAACCACAAUAAAAGGAAAAGACAAAAGCAAGCAAGAACUUAUGGUAAAGAGUAAAGAUCAACUAAGUCAGUAUGAACAUGCUGUGCUUCUUCAUAGAUAAUUUCCAAAUUGAUAAGGUGCCAAAACUUUAUGUGGGUUGGGGGAAUUCCGAAGUAGAAGACCUUCUCAGACUUUGGAUCAAUGUUGGAGUCCACCCAUCUUGCCCAUCCAUUCAAAGCCUUCCCCAUAGCUUUGGUGCGGUUCAUGUCUUUGAGUAUCUCGUUGCCAUCCUUGAAUAUAAUCCCAUCUGCACCAUAAAAUCCUACAGUCAAAACUUGCUGAAGUAAAUCUGAGAGUGAUGGAACGUAUGGAAUUAGGACAGUGAGAUCUCACAGUCAGCCAGGAUUGCUUUGGUUCCACCAAGGGAACAAAUUGAAGAUGAGAACAUCUGCACUGAGCCAUCCCUGCCCAUUUUGUUGCACAGAGUCCAUCUUAAGGACUUUCCCUAUCUUCUCAGGGACAAUGUCCACCAUAUACAGUGCAAAGCAGCAAGACAACAUGACAUUGUAGUCCUGCAACAAAACCUCUGAUUAAAGAGUGAAAGGUGAGAGAUAUUGGUGUUGGAGCAUAUUGAUUAUCGACACUGCUAUGUAGCCCAAUCCUGGCACCACCUAAAUUCCCUUCAUAUCUAGCAUAUUACAUGACAGCCUCAUAGGGAGAAGUUAUUGUUUGACCUAGAUCCACCACCUCAGAGUGGACCAAUCAUGGACAAGUCCAACCACAAAGAAACAUGCCUAAACACAAAGAAACAAAGAAAGCAGCAGAAAAAUGGAGCAAUACAGGUGUGUCAGUGCAUGUUGCUCUGUGGUUGUAAUGGUCCACAGCUGAGCUAACAGAUCUGGUCCAACAAAUAAUUUUUCCACAUAGGAGGGGAUCAACUAGUGAAAUUCAUGAGAUUGGCAUGACUCAAUGGAGGAUAUUUCUUCAUAGCAGUAAUCCUCGGAUAACAUGUGGUGCUGAACAUGUAGUUUGGUGCCAUAUUUGGGAUUAGGAGAAUUUAUCUCAGGUGACAUAUCGCUUUUUUUUGUUCCCAAGGAAAAGAUAAUUUCUUAAAAACAAAGUCAAUUAACUCUUCAAUUGAAAAAAGAUAGGAAUACCAACCUCAAAUUUAACACUAUCAGCCAGUUUGUUGUAAGAAAUGGUAGUUCUAGGUACUGUCGCAUGUAGCAAGCAAGUACCGCUGAUUCAAACUUAUUGAAUCCCCCACACACAUUAUUGUCUUCCCCCUCAUGCUCUGCAAGAAAUCCUUGCCAUCAAAUCUGCACAACAAUACACCAAUGAACAUCAAGAUCCAUCCCAAGUCACAUGACUAUCACAUAUUUAAAACAAAUGACAUAGUAGGAUGCAAGAAGGUUAGAUUUGAUCAAUUUUUGACAUGAUGCAAGGCCAAUUAUUAAUUAAUCAGCUCAAAAAAUGCAUUUCCACUGCAAUCCACUUUUACCGAAGUAGAUCCAAUUUAUGAUUGUUUUCACUCGAAAAUAAGCUGCCCAUUAAGCAUAAGAAACAUCACUCAACCAUAUACUUGGCAUUCGUUGUGUGACCAAUUGUAGUAUAUAAGCACUAACAAAUUAUUCCAUUACAAGAUUAGUACAGAUGGCACCGGAAGAAUAAGAACCAAUAUUGGGAGCUCACAACUAUCGAGUUUCCACCAGUACUUGAGGUACUUCUUAUCAGGUCAGCCACUCUUCAGGCAGUUAAACAUAGGUCUACUAAAAACGGAUAACCUGCCAAGUCAUAGAGAGGGCAUGAUUCAUCGUAGGGCCAACUUCUUGGAACAAGUUGCACUGGGCCAAGCUCCCUCCACCCCAUUCAAACUCUCCACUAUUACACCACACGAGGCCACAAAGAGUGCUAAAAGAACAUAGUGAUUUAGGAGAGGAACAAAGCCCAUCCUCACUUUAGACCCCAUAGAGAGAGAGAUAAGGACUGUGGGGAAGAAAAGCAAAGGACCUAGGGUUGUUAAUGAAUUAGUUAACCAAGAGGGCACCAACUUCCUUUUUUGAUAGCUUGACUGGAUAAAAUGUCUAAAGAGAGGUAACCAAAUUUAUUUUUGGAUUUUUUGUGUACAUAUCCUCCUAAAUAUUGGAAUUUGCAUAAAUAUUCUUUCAAAAUUGAUAUUUAUAUAUAUACCCUCAUAAAAUACUUAUUUUGCACGUAUAGCCUUCUAUUUCCUUUUUUUGCACAUAUACCUAUGCCAUCUAAUGCCAUUAAGAAAUUAGCGGUUUAAAUUGAAUGACCAAAAUACCCUUAAUGGGUAUGUGCAAAAAGAAACAUUUAUAAGUGUAUGUAUGCAAAUAGUAAUUUUACAAAUAUUCAUGUAAUUUCAUAUAUUUAGAAGAGCAUACAUGCAAAAAAAAAAUCCUUAGAUUUUUUAUGUGAAUACCCUCUUAAAUAUUGGAUUUGUGUGAAUAUCCUUCUAAAAUUGAUAUUUGCAUGUACAUCCUCACAAAAUAUUAUUUUUGCAUGAAUACCUUUGACAUAGCAAUUUAGCUGAUGUCAUUAGCCAAAAUCAUAUCUAUUUAAAUUAAAAAUUAAUUAAAAUUAUGAGAUUAUCUUUUUACUUCAAAAGUGGGUAAUAGGUUAAUGGGUCUUGCUUCGAGCUUAUCUGACCAGUCAAACUUUCCCUCUUCCCAAUAACAAAACCUUUUUUGUUAUCUAAUCAGUGAUCGAUCUUUUUCCUUAGCAAUAUUUUCAUAGAAAAUAUUGAUGAGCAAGCACUAGACUAGUUUGAGUGCUAAAACAAGUUGAAAUAGAUAAAAAUAAAAUUAUUUUUUUUUUUGCAUAUAUAUCCUCCUAAAUAUAUUAAAUUGCAUGAGUACCCUCAAAAGUUGCUAUUUGCAUGUAUAUCCUUAUAAAUUUUUUUCUUUUUGCAUGUCUAGUGAUUAAAGAUAUUCCAGUCAUUUCAAUUUCAAAACACUAAUUUCUUAAUAGCAUUAGAUGGCAUGGGUACGUGUGGAAAAAAAAUAGAAUAUGCAUGCAAAACAAGUGUUUUGUAAGGGUACAUGCAAAUAUCAAUUAGGAGGGUAUGUAUGCAAAACACCCUUUAUUGUUUUAUAUAUUAAUUUCUUUCUUCUGUUGAGGAAGCACAUCUUUUUUUCAUCAAUCACAGUUAUGCCCUUGGACAGAAUCUAAUUUUUUUUGUGUAUCUACGAGAAUCUCCAUGAGAUUUCGUAGAAUAAAGAUUGUUCAACAUUUAUGGGAAUUUAUAAAAGUCGAAAAUUUUCUUUGGUCAACUUUAAAGUCCAUUAAUUUGGAGACUUAUUCCCAGUUUAAGUUUCAUUGCACAAUUCUCCCUUUCAAAUAUAGUCACAAUUCUGGAUACUAAGAUCAUACAAGAUCUCUCAUGCCACCAUCUAUUAUGGAUUUAUUUACCUGUUAUUAUGACAGAGAGAUUUAUAAUUUUUUUUCCACAAACAAAUGUUGUACAUAUCUUUCACUCUAUAGACUUCAAAUUUUGCUCAAUUUAAAUUUAUGUCAACCAAAUAAAAGGACCUCUACAUAUUGUAGAAGUUCUUUUAUAGUCAUUCAACUUAUGCAGUACCAUUAGUAGUGCUUAUGCCCUGGUUUAGUUGGCAAAUUAUGAAGUACUAUUUGUAGUACUUAUGCCCUGGUUGAGUUGGCAAAAUUACUGCAUGUCAAAUACCACUAAUUCAGGUUCUAUCUGAUCCUACUUCACCCUAAUUUAAGUUAGGCUUUCCCCCUCUCAUCCUGAUUCUUGCAACAAAUAAGAUGCUAUAAACUCUAUUAUUAGAAAUGAGCCACUCUAAUAAUUAUGUAUUCGAUUUUUACAAUUUCAAUUAUUAAACUCCUUUCUUGGCAUCUUCCAACAGCUAGUCCAACUUCUAUAAGACCAUUCUGUAAUUAGCCUUUUCAUGACUGCUAUCUUUAAAAACUUUCCAAUUCAACUCCAUUUGCAAAGAGAAACUAUUGAUGAUCCAAAAAUUGCUUUAUCAUCUCAAUCAUAUUAAAAAAGAAAAAACAAAGACUUCCAGUUGUCAACCUUUAGUUGACAUUGAAUACGUGAUAGUUUAAAUUCAGAACCAACAACUAAGCAGAAUUUCUUUCUCAUUUUAGCAUAAUAUUAAUUUGCUCAUAGCCAACAAAAAUUUCAAAUAAAAUACAUCAUACUGAAGAAUGUUUAAGUAUCCAACUGCAGCUAAUUGACAUGAACCAGACAAACUACAAGCAUUCAUAAGAAUUUUCAUUUUCCAAGCAAAAACAGAAAGAAGGGAUUAAAACAUCAUGUGCCUACCACAUCAGCAUUUUGACAUGUACACGUUAUGCCAUGUCAAUAUUUGGCAUAAAAUGGCACCAGAGCCUGCCAUUCAUUGGCAUGCAACCAGCACAAUUCCAGUCCAAGAGAUAUUGCCAGGGAACUUUCCAGACAUUAAAGAUAGCUCUUGCUUGAGAUGCUCGGUAGAUCAAUCUCUCUCAGAUUUUUCCUUCCAAACAAGCUAAUCUCUAAUAAAAAUAGCAACUAUUGAAAUCCUACGGAAAGAAUUCAUACAAAUUUCUACACUUACACUUCAUAUAUCAUGCACGUCAGAAACCAAUAACUGGCAAUGUUGCCAGAUGAAAAUCUUCAAGUUACCACAAAUUUUUGCCUGAAGUCUCCAUUUGGAACAGAAGCAUAUAUCUAGAUGGUUUGCUCUGACAAUGAAAUACAUAUAAGAUAUAACAAAGCAACAACACAUCAAAAAAUGCACAGAUAAUAAGCUCCAAGUACCAUGGCAUAAAACAGUAUAUAAACUAAAUGUAUCAUUUAAUGAAGAAAUGUGUUUGCUUUUACCAAUACCAGGAAUAGACCCACAAGGAGUCUAUCAGCAACCAUUAGUGCUUCCAUGAGGUUCAAUAAUUCACGAGCGUACCUCUUAGAUCAUCAAGUUAGACACACACACACACACACAAAGAAAAGAGGGGGGGGGGAUAUCGUUAGUCGUGGGUGAAUGCUCUAGUUUUUCUUUUUUUCUUUUGUCUUUCUUUCUGGCAAAGGGUGAACGCUACAGCUGACCGAUAUUCUUUCCGUAAUUAUUAGACAAUAUUCUAAUUUCAGGAGAUCUCAACCAUCACAGCGGAAAGCAAACGUCCACAUGAUGUAACAAAAGGAUAGAGCAGAGCCUUGUUGCUCCUUUGUAACAACAACAUGGAGAAGAAAGAUCACCCCUCUCAUCCCUCCACACUUUUAUCUGUUAAAUGGUAGAUGGAUUAGAGUAAAACAAUUAUCUCAUAUCCAGACUGCAUGAGAUGAGCGAUAGGUGGUAGAGAAGAAAGUACAGGAGUUAAAAGGGCAAUUCUGACACCCUAGUCUUGAUUAGGGAGAAAAAGAAAAUAAUAUAGAAAAGAAUAGAAAGGGCUGAACCAAGUAACCAUGUCCCAUCUGACUUGAUGAUAUAUGGCUAGGUGAGGCUACCUUAUCCAACCAGUCAGCUGAUAAAACAAAGUUGAAAUAUUGUUUGUAGGAAGCAAUGACCUAACGAUCAAAGUAUAUUUAACUUUAGAGAUAGUGCAUGAAUUUCAAAACUUAAAAAUUGCCUACAUUCUGCUUGGAACAGAAAGCAAAAUAGCAGAAACAGUUUAUACGUCGUGAAUUUUUGCAACUUCAUAAUUAUUUGCAAUUUACUAUCUCUUCUUGUAUCACGUGCUGAAGUUGUCCUCGACAUCAAAUUUGGUUUGAAAAGGACAUCAAAUUAAGAUUUCCAUUUUAGUUCCUUACUUUUUAAAAUCUAUUAGAAAACCAUAUAUUUCAUGAUGAAGCUUAGCAACAAAGAAAUUUAUGGAGGAAACAUUUGAAUAUGGUAGUAAGUAGGUUAGCUCUGAAUAUUGCAGCCUGUUGCAAGGUUCAAAGAACAUACUGCCUCCUUCACUUCACCUUUUAUAGGGCUGAUGUGUGAGACAUUUGAACCAUCACAUAUAUUAAGUAAAAAAUAUAACUAUAUAUGAUUUUCUUUAUAGCAAACUCACAUGGUUGCUUUUUGUAUUACCUAAAAGGACAUUAAAAAUCAGAGUAAGCUUGAUGUUCCUUUAAAAAGAAUAAUAGAAACCAGAUUAGCUGAUACAAAAUUCACAACAUAGAGCAUGAAAUUGGAAAUAUCAACUGUAAAAAAAGAAAAAAAAAUUGACUAUUAAGAUAUAUCAUUGCACUUCAUUUUUUUUUUCCAGCAAUAACACCACAAUGGCUAUGAAAAGGUUUAUAGCCUUACCUUCAUCUAGUGCAUGUCCAAUAGCUCAAGUGCUUCCUUCCUCCUUGCUCCACCAGCCAUGUUUGCAUAUAAAUAUUUAUCCAAGGAUCAAGCAAACGUAGUUCUAGUCAUGUUUAGUUAUGCAAAAGCAAAAUAAUGAGAUAUAUUACUAGCAAAAAAUUUGCUGGAAUGAAGAAAACACAAUUUAAAUUAAUUCAACACCCCAUCAGAGCAAUUGCUUCAAUCACGUUGCUUCCUCCUAGUUCUAUGAAACAUAGUUAACAUAUUACUUUGCUACCCUUAUCCAUCAGAGUAUCAACGAAAUUCUAGCCAAGCUACACAUAUAAUUAUACAAAGCAAAAUAAAAUAAAGUAACUAUUGAUACAAAAUAUUUUGAACCAGAAGAACACAAACCUAAAAAUAAGGCAGCCUGAUGCAAGAGUCUCCCACCACUGCAAGGUCUGGAAAGGGUCAAAUGCGUGCAUCCUUAACCUGAAAGCAGAGAGGCCAUUCCCAUGUUUUGUACUCAUAACCUCCAGGUCAUAAUGAAGCAACCUUACUAUCGAGCCAAAGCUCAACCUCUAAGAAUACAAACCUGAAACAGCUAAAUAUCCAAUCAAAAGCUCAAGGCUUCAUUAGAUAGUCUAAGAAGCCAGGCACAUUUCUAGUAAGCAUCUAACGUUAGUAUCUGUAAAAUUGUUUACUUUUAAAAUAGCAGCUAGUAGACCAGUAAAAUAAGCAAUAUACCAAGUGAUUAUCAUAGUAUCAAGACCAAUCAAUGAAAAUUUACACUGAAAAGAAGAAAUAGAAAAAAAAAAAGAAAGAAAGCCAACAGAGUAAUAGUCUGUUUUUUCCUCCUCUUAUAAAGAGGAAAUAGGAGAGUAAUAAGCAUUUGAAUUCCUGAUCCUUUCAUGUACAUAACUAAAUUUCUCUUUUUGUUACUACCACAACUACAUAUGUCUAUAACCAAUAGAAAAACCAGAAGAGAAUGCAUACAAUUCUAGGAAAUAAGCACUCUUAAAAGUUAUCACUUUUUAGAAUUUAUAAUCUAUAAUUAUUUAAGGAACUUAGAAGCUAAAAAUCUGGCAUCUUCUUAAGUUCAUUUUGCAUCAGAACUUCUAUAUAAUAAUUUAAGACUUAAUAUAGUUGGCAUCUGCUCAAAAAAGAAUGAAGGCAUAAUAGCUGAGAAAAGUUUCCUUCGGUCCCUUGGCAAGAAAAAGGCAUGGAUACCUAAAAUUAUAAAAUAGCAAGAAAUCUGGAAAUUGAAACAUGGCAGGAAAAAAAAGAAGAUAUGAAUAGGCAUGAAACCUAAGAUCAUAAAAUAUCUUGAAAUCUAGAAUGAAAAUGAUGCGGGAAAAAAAAAUAUGAAAAAGGACAUCAUACUCUGCUAAUGCAAAGAAAACCACCUCAUCUCCCUCAUCUCACAGACAAUUUGAGCAAUUGGAUGGUGGAGAAGGAAAUAAACAACUUCAGAUCUUGCUAUAAGAAAACCUGAGAAAGGGUACCGAUAUGGUAAAUUGUAUGUUUCAUUAUGGGAGCAGUGCAGAUUUGAAGCACCUAUGGAUGCCUUCCUCAAUAAAGUACCUAUGAAGAAAUCGCCAUCCAUCAAUAGCCUUAAGCUCUUCACCAUCACCUUUACACUCUUCUUCACCGCCCUAACUUCUCAAGCAGAAGAUGCUAGGUGAAAGGGCAGAGAAAAGUAUUAAGAGGGUUACACUGAACCCUAUAUCGACCAGCUCAUAGACCCAUUGCCAAACAACCAAAAACCAGGUCAUCAGCAUUAGCGGUUGAUAGGAUGAACGAAUGAUACUGCUUCAUAUGCAGGUUAUAAAUAAGCAAAAUCAAUAAAUAAACUAAAAUCUUAGGGUGAAUUUUGAUAAGCAACUCUACCACCAAAAGCAAAGGCAUUAAAAAUUAGGUUCACAUAUGAAAACCACUGACCUUUCAGUGCGUUAGAGGUUACUGAAUGAAGGAUGUAAUUGUUUACCCAAGUUCAAAAUAAUAGUUUCUGGUGUAAUACAGCAAAAAGAAAAGUCUAAUCACUAAGACUAUGUUGCCUUUUUCAAUUUGUUGAUAAUGAUUUGAUUAUCUCAAAAAAAAAAAUGCUGCAUGACUUGAGUGGAAAUAACACCUUCGAAUUAGCAUGUCUGACACAGCACCAGCAACACAUCCUCAAGUUGCCAACAUGAUCCAUGGAAGUAUGCUUGAGGUGAAUAAAAUAUAUCUGCACCAAAUACUUUACGAUUUUAUAAGCUGGGUCAAGAUUUUAAAUUCCGCGGGAUAGAACUGUCCCAAUUUUUUCAUAGAACGGAUGCCGCCAUUCCUUCCCCCCCCCCUCCCUCUUUCGCCCCCCAAGUCCCAACAUUUGAGACAUAGGAUGUCCCAAGACAUCCCGAUCAGGACGCUGGGAUACUAGCGAAACAGCCUUGUCCCGACACAUAGGAUGGUACUCCAUCCCGAUGUCCCACGGAACGUCCCAUUGGAAUCUAAAUCCUUGAGCUGCAUACUAAAAGUAGACCAUAAAGCUUUCAACAAACAGAACUAAGAAUACAUACAGUGUGAAACUAAACUGGCAUCCAGGAAUGAAUAACAAAGUUCCUUCCUUGCAAAUAAAGUCAAAGGAUGACUUCUACUAUCUGCUUAGAAAAGUGGACAGUAGAUGUUGUUUAUGAACAUGCCUGAUACAAAAGCUAUCUAUGAGCAAUGGUGUAUGGAAUUUACCCAGCUGUCAUUGCAUUUGCAGAAAUUAGAGCCCAUGCUGGCAACUUUGAUAAUAAUUUCAUAAGGGGGGGAUCAAUUCUGGAUUUUUCCCGUUCCCUGGUAGGAGGGAUUGGAAGUCUCAACUCUAGGUUAUUAUGAUAUGGUGGACCAUGUAUCAAGAGUUAGCAAUGUUGCCAACAGCUAUACCAAUGCCUAAAGAUACCCCAAAUAAUGAAAAUGUUAUAAAAGAUCUAGACCAGGUUGCAACAUGAUUUUAGAGAAGCCUGAUUGCACUACCAAGCUGAAAUAUAGCCACGGCAACUUCAAGUGCAUUAGAUCGUUCUGUUUGAGGAAACUAUCUAUGGGAGAAGUCCAGUUUUAACAACUUUAACAACUUGGAAGGAUGGCAGUAAAAACAAAAUCAUGCUCAGAUGAACUUCCUCAUUUCCUCAGACUAUAAACAUGUAUUUGAUAUUAAAGAGAAGAUUAGUGAAAGAAUUUCAAGGAAAAAUGAAGUAUGAGAUUGAUACCUUAUAAACAUGUUUUGCAUAUGGAGCAGUACCACUCCUGCAGCACCCAAAAGAACUCACAUAACAAGUGCAAACUAUAGAGAAGUCUCAGCAGCCCAUGGAAUAAAGAAAGGUGCCACCCACCAAGGGUCACAUCCAUGCCAUGACCACCUUGCAACUGUUAAUACCGUAGAUCCUUCAACUGUGGGAAACAUGAGGUAAUGUCAAAGGAGUGCUCAGUAACUCAUAUAAAUUCAGAGAACAGAUGAGAGUUCUAAUUUCUAAAGCACGUGAAGGUGGGAAAAAAAUUAUCUAUGACCUUGAAUAGAAUAAUUAAUCAACAAAAUUGUCGUAACUCAAAGUUGAAGCCUCAAAUCACCAAUAAACAAAGAAACAAACCGGAAAGGAAAAAAAAAAAAACAGCAUAUUAAAUUGCCAUGCCUACAGCACAAGGCUCAAAAGUUGCUUAAAAAGGAAAAAUAGCUAAUCCGAACAAAUUUCUCCAGAGGAAGUCCUCAAGAACUGAUCUUUUCUGGCCUGACUUCACCGCUAUAAAAGACCCCUUACCUCCUUGGUGAAUUAAAUCAACAAUUUCUGUCAUUUGAAAAAUGCAACAUCAUCGUGAAAGAGAAUUUGGUAUCAUAUAGUGAUCAGGAACAAGUAUUGUCAUCACAAAAUAAAGAUAGAUUGUUAUCCUGCAAUAUAAUACAUGUUACACGUUGUAUUAGAUGUCACUGGAUUCAAUGUUACAGGUUGUCCUUUACCGGAUUAAAUUUAAAAAGAAAGAAAGAUAUCAAGGUAUUUGAACUUUCCAAAGUAUAAUCAAUCUUAUUCGUUCCUUUCUCACAAGCUCAAUAUAAAUUCCAACGAUGACAUACUUAGAUUUCCCUCCACAUUGCUUUCACCCUCUUCCCUCUAUUUGGUCCUACACGCAGAGCGGAAAUUAGAAAGGAAAGAUUGUUUUCCCAAAAACAAAAAAGAAAAAAAGCUUGCUUUCUUUUUCUUGACCAAUUUUUCACUUAAUUUGAAUCCAGCCCAAUUUAAAAGGGGAAAGAAAAGCAUCAAGAACGACACUUGAAUCAUGUUAUCAUGAUGUUGACCGUGACUGCAUCAAGAUCAUCUCUUUCAUCACCAUGUACUCGGUUAAAGCUACCAAUCCUCCGUCACUUCCCUUUCUGACAGUUUUCUUCAAAAAAAACCCGAUGAAACAAGAUGAUGGAUCAAGAAAUAAAAGAAAAGAAUAGAGAAUCAGGACCCUAGAAGCUAGAACCCUCCAAGAAUCCACGACAGCCCUAGCUUGAACAAGAAACCUAUAAUUUCCACCGUACGAAAUCAAUAAAACAAUAGAAACAAGAACCAAAACCUUAACGUCGCAGAACCUUCUGGUACUCGAUCAAAACCCUAAGAGGUCCAAGAAACGCAUAGAAAAAGGGGGAGAAAGAAUGGACGGAGGGAGGGAGGGAGGGAGGGAGCGGAACGAGAGACCAAGAGAAGGGAGUUCUGCGAAGUAGACCUCAAGGGCGGCUAUACCUCUAGCAUGCCGCUCCGUUAGGGCCCUCUCCCUCCUUUCCUUCUUCUCCCGUCGCUCCCUCUUCCUCGCUUUCUCACUCUCUCUGGCUCUCUUGUACACCUUCUUUCGCAUUGCCAGAAACGAGAGCAGCAGAGUUGUACGGGAGGCGUAUUUAUAGAGGCGAUGGCGGUGGGUUCUCAGGAGAUCCGUUAAUGCCGGCUGGCGACGCGGUUUAUCUCGCGCGCGUCACGUCUCCGUUUGCUGCUGUUAUGGGCCUUCCGUUUUGCCGACUUAUGUAAUCCCGUCCGUCGGUUUUUGGCAACGCGCGCCUGGCAUCGGUUUAGCUGGGAAGUGACGUUGUGUACUAACGGGCCGGGUUUCAAAUCCAUGGGACUGAGCGUAGCGUGCGUCGACUGGUAGCCAUAUCCAUAAUGGCAAUUGGCAAACUAGGAAUGACGACUACGCGCGGGAAGCGGUUCUCUGGGGGGUGGGGGUGCAAAUAAGCAGGUACCAAGUGGGCUGGGCUUAUCUUGUACAGCUUCAUAAAGAAUUCUAAAUGUCCUCAUACUGGAACCGGCUCGGCCGUUUGCUCGCUAUUCCCCUGGUUUGACAGGAGAAGGCCGUUUUGUCGAUGCAUGGCAGAUGGGCCACAAUUCAGCAAAGCCCACAGCAAAACAUGGAUUGCAAACUAGGGGCCCUAGUCAAUCGUUGCCAUCAUAAUAUUAAUGAAUGGUCAUGAUUGACAAACAAGCUAUUCUCCAGUCCAAGUACGGAAUCAAAAAAAAUUCAAACUCAGAAAAAGUAAUGAAAUAGUCUUUAGCAUUAAAAAGAAUUCUAAAAAUAGAUUUUUGGAGUUCUUAUAUGGCAAGUCCUUCAUGUCUUGACCUACAUUAGAUAACCUUUUUUUUUUCCUCUGUCAGAUUUUAUCCUCAACUGAGAACCACGGAUCGCCUUUCCUAUUAGUAACCUAUAUUCUAUAUAUAUUGACUCCAAACCAAAAUGUUACCGUGAUAUUGUAAUUAUUGAGGCUAUCUUUAUUUCUUUGUAAAGACAUUAACAAGAUAGCAAGAUGUUAUGGAGGUAGAAAACCAUAGAUACAGGUUCAAUACAUGAAUCUUUAUGAUACAAAUUCAAUAUGUAGAUCAUCUUUAUGAUUUCCGUUGAAGCAUCCAUUAAACAUGCAAUACCACCUGUUGCCACUGAACUCCGGCAAGAUCUCGAGUGAGGUAUCGAAUAAGUGCGCCUAACCUUUAGUAGAGAAAGAGUCUCCAAAAUAAAGUCUUCUUAUCAAAAAUUAUCUAACGGAAGACUCUUCGAUGCUUAAGUUAAUUGGAGUAAGCGAAACAGUGAAAAAGAUUACAGAAGCAAGCGAUUGAUAUAUCUCAAAAAAAUUUAUCCUAAUCUUCUUCUUACCUUCUCUUAUAUAGAGAUGGAGUGAAUGGUUACUUUGUAACUUCUAUUCCUUAAAGUGCAAAAAUGUAGAAGUUACUGAACUUGAUGUGGGUUUAGUAGAUGGUUACUCUAAUCCAUAAUUCUUCAAUUAGGAGUAGUUAAUGCCCUUGUCGUGCAUGGUUUCCAAUCCCUGAUCUUUCAAGUCAUGUGUGAUGGUUCUUUUAUGGAUCCCCGUCCCUCAAUCAAGCAACUUAACCAAUUAAAUGUUGAUAUCAUCAUUGAUCCAUAAAAUAGUCGUAUUGUCAGAUAAGUCGCCGAGUAUCGCCAUUCUGAUAUAAUCGGUAGGCAUCUGAGCAACUCUUGGCAUCGUAAGUAAAUAUCGGCUUUUUUUCAAGUAAAUCCCUCGGACAUUUUUUGAGACAUGAUCCCAACUAUUUACCCUAAUACCACCCUUCCCGAGAAACACAUAAGUUGCCUGUACUAUAGACCCUCAUGCUUAUCAACCGGUGAUUGUUUUUAAGUUCGUGAUUCAUAUUUUUAAGUUGUUUAUCAAUUGUGUUCGCAGUAUUUCUGAAACUAAUUAUUAGAAAGGUGGAAUGGAUUUGGGUUGGGCCAAACCCCAACGAAACUAACUUGCUUGAAGCCCUAACGACAGCAUGUUGAUGUCCUAUUCCUAUGAUGCACCCUCAAAGAAUCGAUGGGUGCAGCUUAACCACCGUUUUCCACUUUUUCCAUUUCUAAUUAUUUUCUCACCAGCAAGGUCGUUCAUGAGGCCGGCGGAUCCAUUGGUGGCAUUAGGUUAGCCUAAGACCAUUCAUGAGAUCGGUGGGCCCAGCGGUUUUUGUUGGGUGGCUUGCCCCAACCAACCUAAAGGCCUUUCUAUAAAUAUAUAUAUAUAUAUAUAAGGCCGCCGAGCUGGGUUAACAAUCCGAAUCACUCAAGCCUGAAUCAGGUUAAGUUCGGCCAUUGAGUUGCCGACAAGUUGAGCUGGAGUGUUGGGUGGCCCAGUGGACGUUCUAGAUGGGGCUUCACCGCUUCAGCUCGCUUGCCUCCAACCUGUUUGACAAAAUUAGCCGAUCGGCCACUUUCUGUGAUUUCCUCCGCAACAAGCAAUCCAGAAAGCGUCUCACGUAGUAACUGCUACGAGGAGUGGUUGCAUUGAGUGUUCUCGAAACACUUCAAGAGCAAGCAUUCCCCCACAGGAAAAAGAACCGCAGGAAAAGAAAAGAAAAGAAAAGAUUCAAAUGCACGAUGCGUUCUUCCAUCUACAUGCCAACCUAAAUGAAGUCGCCACCCACUGAUCGCCGUGCCCUGACCCUCUUCCCCUUCAUUUUGGCUUCGUUUUUGAUCUUUGGAACCACAAGAUUAGUCACAGAGACAACGAGUGCAAGCUGGAGUCAUGUCCUCCGUCGGUCAUUUCCGGCCAUCUUCAGCUCCGCAAGAAGAAAUGCUGCAGAAAUGGACCAUGUUCUCGACCACAGAUGCAAUCUCUUUGAGGGAAAAUGGGUGUUGGAUAAGCAUAAUUCUCGCCCUCUCUAUACUGAAGACAGCUGCCCCUACUUGGCCCGGCAACUGACUUGUCAGAGAAAUGGGAGGCCCGAUUCCCUCUAUCAGAAGUGGAGGUGGAAACCUCAUUCAUGUGAAUUGCCAAGGUCAGCAUCACUUCUAUCUUUGUGUUAAAACUUUAGAGCUUUGACUUCUGGGCUUUGGGAGUAUAACGCGUGCUGGACUGGGUUCAUUCAGGUUUGAUGCUGUGAAGUUAUUGGAGAGCCUGAGGAACAAGAGACUCAUGUUCAUAGGGGACUCGAUCCAGAGAACGCAGUGGGAGUCCAUGGUGUGCCUCCUCCAAUCUAGUGUGGCUGACAACAAGAAGUACCUGCACAAGGAUGCUCCAAGAAAAAUUUUUGUAGCAGAGGUAGGCAAAAUUUGAGUAACCUAGUUUUAUGAGCACCAAAGUCCUCAUACCUGUGCUUCAUUCACUCUGCUUGAGUUCAUUAAUUUGGUUCUUAGGAGUUCAAUGCAUCAAUUGAGUUCUACUGGGCUCCAUUUAUCGUGGAGUCAAACUCGGACCAUGCUACGAAGCACACCGUGCGGAAGAGACUGGUCCAUUUAGACUCUAUUGCCAAGCAUGGCCGGAAUUGGAAGGGAGUCGAUGUCAUGGUUUUUGAUAGCUAUGUGUGGUGGAUGUACAAACCUCUCAUCAACGCCACGUGAGUAGCUCCUUUUCUCUCUCCGCUUCUCUAUUCCAUGGACUCACAAUUCUCUACUGAUUAGUGAUUCGCACGUAGAUAUAUAUCAUAGAGAUAAAUAUCCUUUAAAUUUCGAUUGACAUAUGGUUUCUGUAAUCCUCAAAACUUACUCUUGAACAUGAUGUUUCUGUAAUCCUCAAAACUUACUCUGGAACAUGAUCUGAAACCAUGCAACUCGUAAUCCUUUUGAACCUGAAACAGAAUUGGCACACUUGACAUCUGGCAGUAUAGUGUCCCCACUGCAUAUAGAAUGGCUCUACAAACUUGGGCUAAAUGGGUUGAAUCCACCGUCAAUCCUCAGAAACAGAAGCUCUUCUUCAUGAGCUUAUCACCAACCCAUCUAUGGUAAGUCCCACAAAAAAUAUCAGAGGACCAUCUUGUUUAAUUCCGGAAAUAGUCAUAUGAACUCUGAUAAUUAUACAUGGUGCUACGAUUGUAUAGGAGCUGGGAAUGGAAAGCUGGAAGCAGUGGGAACUGCUUCAACGAGACGUAUCCAAUCGAAGGUCCAUAUUGGGGGACAGGAUCCAGCUUAGAUAUCAUGGCGGCAGUGAGAGAUGCCUUGCAAGGGCUCAAGGUAAAAGUAACCCUACUGAACAUCACCCAGUUGUCAGAGUUCCGCAAGGAUGGGCACACAUCAGUUUACACCGAGAGAAGAGGCAAGCUUUUAACAAGUGAGCAGAGAUCAGAGCCCAACGUAUAUGCCGAUUGCAUCCAUUGGUGCCUGCCUGGCGUACCAGAUACAUGGAACGAAAUAUUGUAUGCAUAUUUGUUAUAUAGAAAGUCGUAGCAACUGAGCUCGCGUGACAUAUAAGAUGUAGGUGAGGAACCAUGGUAACACGAGCGCAAUUGUUUGCUCAAUAAAACAUCAUACAGCCCUUCAACCCCAUCAUAAUAAUUGUUUUGAAGCCGGCACAAAGAUAUAUUUUUGGGUUUUCCCAAUCAUAAAAAUUGAAGUUAUGCAUGCUUCAAUUUAAAGUUAACUUGCUUCAAUUUUGAUUUCUUUCUAUUAAUCAAUGCUAGAUGGUACGUAGGUCUCCUUCUCAUUCUUGAAGGACUGGUCCUUGGCCUCUCCCCUUUUUAACGCUUAUAUCCGCCGUGAGUAGCCAAGAACUCUUUGUUGGUCAGGUUGGUAAGGCAAACUGUUUAACGGCCAGUUUGUAGGACUCCCCCCCUGCACGCUCGCCCAUAUUUAUCCAUCCAUUGCAUGUAACUCUCCACCGUAAAAUCAUUGUAUGUGCUGUGAGACACAACCGGCCAGCUCCACAACCCAAAUAUAAGGAAGAAAAGCACUAGGCAUUGUAACGUAGAAGCCAUGUUAUACUACUGCGUGCCACUGGAGGCAAGUUCUAACACUAGAAAGGUUCUUCGUGAGUUUAUAUAGAGGUUUUUGGAGAUGUAGCUCGGUCUAAGACGGGUGGGAGGGAGGGAUUUACAGUGAUGGUAUUGGUUUGAGCGGGUUUAGCGGUUAGCCUGAAACGUGUACCUUCUCUGCUCACGUUACUGCUGCGUGCAGGAGUGAGCUACUAGACGGGUUGUAUCUUUUGCGCAAGAAAAGGAUUCACCUUCCUUGGGCAUGAAUCCUCCGUCACAUCUUGAAAUAGUUGCUUCAAGAUUUGUACAAAUAAGAAUUUGAAAUACUUAAGAGAUUUAUGUAAGCAAUCCAAUGAUUGAUGUUGUAAAAACAGAACGACCAUUUUUUUCGUGCAAAAGAAUAUCAGUCAUGGAACUAAGUCCACAUAGGCGGACGUUAAAACACUCCAAUGUUGUAAAAGUAUUUUUUUCUUUGUCAUGGCACUCUAAAGAAGGGAACCAUAUGAGACCAUAGAACCAGUUACGUACCUGAGCAUUCAUUUACCAAAAAAAAAAAACUCCUCAGAGAACUGGAGCACACAGCAGCAGCCUUGCACGCUGAGUAAAUGAAACCUCCAGGCAAGGACCAGAUUUUCUUUUAAGCAUGAACCGAUAUUAGCUUUAAAUUUGUAAUAUUGAGAACUCUGAUUGCAUAACUAAAAAAACUAAAAAAAUGAUGGCUACACAAAACGCCAUGCUAAUAUAUAUGAACAAAAAACUUUAGUUGCAAUAAAGUUCCUAAUGAAAGUUUUUUUUUUUCUUAAGGCCCCCAGAAAGGGAAGCACAAACGUGUGGCAAGUAUUUUUGCAAAUUGGCUCGUAUAAUGAAUUGAGCAUGGCUUAUUAUUAAUCUAUCGGACUGCAUAGCCAGCAUCAUGGCAGAGAAAUAGCUCGCUUAGAUGGAAUGCCUAGUUAGCAGCUUCUCACAACCUUACAGGAACUCCCAGUCAGCCUCCAUGGUAUCGUGAAUAGAAGCAGCAGUAAUUCCUUGCCUGUCUUGCAUUCGCUUACUGUUAUCCUGGUGCCAAUAUGCUGCCUGCCCAUAAUCCUUCAACGGUCGCAGUUUUGAAAUUAUAGCAGCCCUGAGUUUUUUCUGAUGAAGAAAACAAAUGUCACUUUGCAAAUUUUGGCUCACAAAGAGCAAAGUUCAUAAAUACUUGCACAAUGUUGUAAUUCCAAAACUCCAGAUGCAGAUACAUCAUAAAGAACCGCAGAUAGAAAACUGCAGGAAAUAAAACUCAGCAGGAGGAAGUGGUUACCCUCCUACAAGAAAUGAAAUCAGGCAAAAUUCGGCUGUGUGUUGGUCUAAAUACUUGGGAUAAUAAGAACUCGAUCAACUAUUAUGAUUGAGCAUGUUCAUGCUUUCUCUGCAUCAAUAAGUCAACCAGGGGGGUGCGGGGGGGGAAAGAGAUGAUCAGCACAACCUCUACAUAAGAACCAGCAGGGGAUGAUAAAGAACAGAUUCUGCUAGAAAGGAGAUCAAAGUGGAUAGGCAGACCCUUGUUCCAAUCCAGUAAAUCAGCAUCUAAGUUUUGGCUAUGCAGUCUUAGCAAGAUACUAACAACAGGGUUUCCAAUGUUCACUAGGGGUAGUCAGGGGAAAACACACUGAAGACAUGAUUCCAAUAAAGAUCAAAUGGAUGCAUAUCAAUGUUUAUUUUCAGCACUAAUGUCUAAUUGGACAAAUGUCUGUGAAAAAAGAACUUGCACAAGGAUCCCAAGAUCCAAUCCAGAUGCAAACCCAACAGGACCCUACCCAACCCGAACUAUAUGAAACAUCUGAUUUGGUCUAAAUGCAGACCCCACUUACAUCUGUAGUUACAAUUGGGUUCCUUCAAUACAUAGACCAAAUGGAUUAGGUAGCUCCCUAACCCAACCUGACAUGAGAAUACAUACAUACUAUACACACACGAGCAUGUACAUGGAUAUAAAUUUGAUGCACCUAAUAAAAUGAUCACACUGCUAUGUACGUUUAGAGCUGAAAAACUAUCUUCAGGUGAUUAAUGAUGAUAUUUGAACAAGGCAAGACAAGUAGAAACUAAUGUCAUAUAGUAAGGAAGUUUAUAUGACCUGAAUUAUAAUGAUAACAAAAAGCAUGCGAUGUAUCUAUGAAAUAGUAGUAAUCAAGAAUGUGCGAUGCACGUUUCAAGAAAAAAUAUUAUAAAAUUUUACAUUAUAUAAAUUAAAAUAACAAUAAGAAUAAGCAUAUUUCUUUAUUCGUUAGCAGCUGUUUAGUUAUUUUUUUCUAAUUUGUUUACUCUCAUAAUAUCUUUGUUAUGAUUAUUUGUUUCUAGCAGGUAUCUCCAAUUUUUCAUAUUUGUCUUCUAUCAAAUAACAAUCUUUCAAAUAUUUAUUAAAUUAGAUCUCUAAUGAAUUUAUUUAUCUUUCUAAUUGUUUUCGUUACUUGUUUGGUUGUUCAUAUGGUCACUGCAUUUGUUUUUUCUUAUAAUUGUUUGCGCACAAGCUAGGGGAAGUGGAGAAAUAGAGGGAGGAUAUGUUGGUGGGAGUGACAGAGGGAAGCGGGUUAUGGGGGAGUGCACAUGUUUUAAGCGAAUUAAAGAUGGGAGAGAGCGAGGAUGGACAGUCCAAGAUGUUUGGAAAUUUUGUGUUCACCUGUUCUUGGUUUAGUGUGGUCUGUUCAGGGAAGGGGAAAUGAGAAAGAAGUAACUAAUGGAGCUAGAGAGGGAGAUGGGGCGGCGGCGGCGAGAGAGAGAACACAAUGUGAUCACUGAGAGGGGAGCGAGCAAUUGGUGUAAUUAAAGAAUUUUUAGGAUAAGUAGAAGGGUAUAUUUGGAAUGAAAAUUGAAAGAGAAUUAAAACAUACACUUUAAUUUGGAAACUAUCAUUUAAAUAGUAGUAUAGAAGUGCACCAUCAUGGUAUAUAAUGAAUGCUAAUCAAAUAGCAAACAGCUAAUGCAAAUCCUGGUAAAUCUGGAAGACUGCAUCAUACAAACCGGAUGGCCAUCAUUUCUCAUACACAAUUAGACUUAAUAUGUGGGCAGAUACAGCUUCUCAUAACAAUGAACAUCAAACACCUACAUAAUCACAUGAGCUGCAGCGCACAUCAUGGCCAAUAUAUGUCAGAUCAUGUAUAAGCAAGUGUAGACAUUUUAGGUAAACACACACACGGCAGUGUUGGUGCCACUUUUGUUUGAUAUGCAAGUACGAUAUCCAUGAAUUGCAAGUUACCUUGUAUGACCUAUUCUUGAAUUCCUGACAUGAGACCAAAGCAAGUUCAUAGUCUUCAUCGUCAUCAUCCCAGCUAUCCUGAAGAUCUACAUCUUCAAGUUCUCCGAGUUCUGUGCUCAGGUCAUCCAGAUCAGUACUGUUGAACAAGCUUUCCCUGGCAGAGAGGUCUGAAAUUUCUGAAACAGCUGAACUUACAAAAAACCACUUAUCAGGUACUUGAGGAAUUAAAAUAUAAAAGAAUCAACCAUUCGAUAAAAGUGUGGGUCUGCCCAGAUGCAAAAUCAGCAACAAUAAACUGAUAUUCCCUUUUUCUUAUUUUUGUGGAGAAGUGGUCAACUGAAGUUCAUUGUGUGUAAUUUUGCAUGUAGCAGUAAAUAUCAGAACUCAGAUGGGUGAAUCAUUUGAAAAUGAAAAAUAAAAUAAGAAAAAUCAAAACAUAACUUGUCAUACGUCCCUGCAACAAGAACGUUUGGUAUGUUUAAACAGGAGGUGCUCAGUGAAGCGCAAAUGGCCCUAAGAAUUUCAGGGAGGGAAGCAUCAAUUGAUCAGGUAAGACCUGACUUGGGGUCUGCUCAAAGCCUGGGCCGGGGCAAAAACCACCAGGCCCAAGCCUGAUUUCAGCCCAAAAAGGCCAACGCAUACAAGGCCUAGAUUCCGCCUGAGCUUACUGUAUCUUCAGGCAGUACUUGGAACAAGUCCUGGUAGGAACCCUAUUUUCAAUUUAAAAAUCCUAAAUCUGAGCCUGGCCCAAACCUGUUCAACCUGAAGCUCUCAUGCCAAUUCCCAGCUCAGCCCAACAGCCUGAUUUCUUAGCCAAAAGUCCAGAUUUUUCAGUCUUCAAGCCAACCCUGCAUUUACCAACUUGCAUUUGUGAUGGUAGCUUUUCAUCUCCCUUUGCUCAUCAUAAACAAAACCUCAUUAUUGGUUUUGUGAUGGUAGCUUUUCAUCUCCCUUUGCUCAUCAAAACAAAACCUCAUUAUUGGUUCUGAGUCAUGAACGGAAUUCCUCUAAUCUUCAAAAGCUUUCAGUUCUAAUACUAAAAUGGUGCAGAAAGGGCAAGGCGUGGUAGAGGAAAAAGCAAAAAUUUCUCAGCAGAAGGAAACCAUUGUUGAACUAGGAAAAUGAAGAUAUAUCAGAAGAAAAUGACAAAAGGAAUCUAAAUCUGACUUUGUAACUUUACAAGUGAUGCAUCACAUCAAACCAUAACCACAACUUUUCAAUACUAAGGGCCUGCUUACAACCCGAGCCACUAAAUUAUGUACUCUCUCAUAAAAACUCUCAAGCUAAAUCCAUGAUUGAGAAAAUCCAGAGAUCAGAGGAGUCUAGCAUCCUAUUAUUCCAAAUUUAGAGGGAUAUGGAAUCAUCUUUCAAUCGGUUUCUAUUAAUUUUACUGAUUCUGAGCACCUCCACUCCCCUUAAACUUCUGCCAAUUUUAAGUUAUUUCCCAACCCCUUUUGCCUGCCAGCAUAUUACAUUCAGCAAUUAGGUGCUCGCACGUCCAAAUUGGCUCUCAAGGGAGUUCAGGGAAAACCACUACAAGAAUAGAGAAGUAAUGCUAAUGAUUUUUAAAUUCUGCUACUUUACCAGUUUACAGUGACAGAGAGACUCAAUUCAAUCCCUAAAGAAGCUCAGUGGAUUAUAUCAUAACCUCAAAGUAUGUCCAACAAACAUUACUGAAAAACCAAUGCUUAGGCAAUAAAUCUGAAACCAAUUGUAAAACUAAAAUUUGGGCAUAAGGAUAUAGUAGAUAGUAGAUGUGGUGGUGCCUAGGUUGACUUACAAGGAGCAUUAAUAAUGUUCCUAAUGGAAAACUGCCGGUCAAUGACAACACAAGGAUGAAGCCUGCAUUCCACUUAUCAAGCCAAUUUAGGUAGACUAAUGAACAAGGAACCGGAAAAUCUUUCUAUAGUUAAUAUGUGGCAAAGUGCAUGAGCCACUAAAAUAUUAUUGAAUCAAAAUCAUACUUUAUAGUACACAGGUGAUAAAAUGCAACAGCCAGUACAAGGAAGAAAACAACUGGGAAGUUAUGCACGUACCAGAUUCUGGUAAUUGCACAUCAGCCUCUGAUCUAUUAGUUCCAAAUUUUUGCUGAUGUUCAUUUCCAAGAGAAUGCACAAGAGAUGCUAUGCCCCUAGAUGUAGAGGUGCCUACAAUGACAUCUAUUUAGGUAAAUCUUAAAAUGGUAUACAACAGCAGCAAUGCAAACAACAAAAUAAGCAAACACUGUAGAUUGUUGAUCAGAAUAUCCAUACUGCAUAUUUCAGUUGAUGCAUUAUUGCCUGACAACAUGAACCUUUCUUCAAGAACCAUAUUUUUUUUACGGGACUCUGAUGGAAGGGCUUCAUCAGUUGAUAGAGCACUUGUGAAGUCAGAAGAUGUGAAUGCAUCCGCAAGUUUCCUAUAAUUUCCAUCCACACCUGUGCAACUAGAAUCUGUAGCUUCAGCUGGAAUUUGUUCCUUUUCACGUUCGUUGCUUAGAGUAUCUUGGGCUACAUCAGGGGGUGUGACUAGUUUCAUAUCUUCCAUUGAAGAAAUAAUAGGCUCCUCUAUGGCAGAAGUUGCUAACUCAUUUAAGUUGUUUUCAUCAACUCUUUCACUUGAUUUCUUCCAAAGCUCUGUUGUUGAAUCAGUAUCACUAGAUUUAUCAAAAUCUGUCUCUUUAGCAUGAUUACUAGAAGGGUCAAGCCAUUCGUCAACCUCGUCAAGGAACUUUUUAACAUGUUCACCCAUUACAUUAACAUAUUUGCAAGGAACCUGUCCAACAAAAUAAUGCAUUAUUUUUUAUUAGAAAGAAUAAAAAACAAAAUAAGUUAUUUAGGAGGGGGGAAGAUAAGGAUCUCAUAUUACUAGGCAAAUCAAUUUAUAAACUACUUAUUCUGUUCAAGAUAAAAGAUGCCAACCUGAACCAUUUUAUUGGCACGAAUUUUUUCUACCUUCUGGUAUACGUUGUCAGCCCAAGAUGAAUUUUCUUUUUGAGAGAAAACCCACCCUGGAUUUUCAAAUGUAAAAUCCAUGCUGAUCAAAGAUAAGCUCCUGGAAGAGAAAAAGAAUCAACAAAAAUUCAUCACCCUCUCUUGUCAUGGAAGUUUUAUUGAUCAAACUUUUCCAAAUUUUAAUUUACACUGCUCACCGGUCAUCGACAUUAUGUUUACAAACACAAAAUGUAUAAAACAACUGCACAUUAAAAGAACACAAACACACAGAUGCACAUGCACACACAAUUAAACAUUCUUGGUGAGACAAAGCAUUCAUUUGUUUACUCCUAAGAAUGAAAAUAUCAGUCCAAUUCUAUGAUAAGAAAGCAGAAGAAACAAUUGUAUAAAUAGAUUAGCAUGAAAUUACUCCAUAACCAUUCCCCAAAAACAAUUAGGCUAGGGUUCCUUCAAGGAUGACAGCAAUAACAUCCAAACUUAUUGGUCAUAAUAAGUUUGCAACUUUAAGUCGCUUGCUUUAAAGCCCAUUGAUUACACGUUUUCGAUUAACCUAACAGCGACUAUAAGUUCUGCUAGUAAUUCCCAAUGCAUCUCCCAUAGCAUUUACAACAAGCGAAAUGAUAUCAUACUGAGAUCGAAAAUCAGCCAUGGGAAGAGAACUAAUGAAGAUUUGACUGCAGCUUGUUAGCAAGGACCUAUCCCCAGCUAAGAAUUGGACCUAAUUUCCUAUAAAACUUUGUGAUAGUUAUCCUAACAGUUGAUGGUACAAAUGUAUUUAGCACCAAGAUCACGUUACAAACUCACGUUACAAACUAACCAUAAAUUUACUUGAUAUCCCCAAAUAGAACUGAAUGGUGCCCAUUACAUAGGGGUUGAUAGAAGAACUACUCGUAACUUGUAAUAUAACAGCGUUCCUUUCUUUGGCAAAAUCACAAAGCUUAAGUACAUCUUUUAUGCCUCUGUAUCCAAGAUGGAUUAAGCUGGGAAGCAUGACUCACUAAUAAAUUUUAAACUUUCUGAAAGGCUUAUAACAUGGAAGGUGAAAAUGGAUAGAAGAGAGAUCAAAUAGAAGGAAAACUGUGCAGUCACACAUGGGCAGAUCAUCUGACAGCCACUUUCCCCUGCAUCAUGGCCCCAUCCUGUGCACACAAACACAUAUACACAUGCACACAGACACAAUCACAGAGAUAUUUCUCGGUUCAAACAGAGCUAAACUGUUUUCUUCCCCAUAAAAACAUUGAUGCCAAGAUAUCAAUUAUGAGUAAUCGUUUACAUUGUUUAAAUUGGGAUUCCAAAAAUAUUCGAACUUUCAUACCUUACAAUGGGACUUGCCAAAAUAUUUGCAUUAAGAGAUUUUGAAGUUGAAAAUAAGGGUCGGUCCAAGACAGCGUAUUAGGCCAUUAUAAAAGUCACUUCACGCUAAAAUUCUUGCACAGCUACAUCCUUUUAGCAUAGAAUUUGUCACGCCACGGAAAAAUUAAACCUCAGAACUCCAAAAACACCCAUGGGAGCAUGUUACUACUAGACAGAUAAUAAACAGAAGUUGAAACAUGCAACAAACUCCUCCAAACCGAGAAACAAAAGAAAGAAGGAAACUGAAGUCCAACAUAUAUUCGCAUAAUGGACAUAGAUGAACAACGAUCCUUAGCUGAAAGGUAUCCAGCCUACUGCUGGAUACCUAAAACCACAUUAAUUUAAAUCACGAACUAUC
rnacentral:lncRNA from 1 species